rnacentral:rRNA from 1 species
CCAAGCGGUGGAGCAUGUGUUUAAUUUGAUGCAACGCGAAGAACCUUACCUACUCUUGACAUCCAGAGAACUUAGCAGAGAUGGUUUGGUGCCUUCGGGAACUUUGAGACAGGUGCUGCAUGGCUGUCGUCAGCUCGUGUUGUGAAAUGUUGGGUUAAGUCCCGCAACGAGCGCAACCCUUAUCCUUUGUUGCCAGCGGUUAGGCCGGGAACUCAAAGGAGACUGCCAGUGAUAAACUGGAGGAAGGUGGGGAUGACGUCAAGUCAUCAUGGCCCUUACGAGUAGGGCUACACACGUGCUACAAUGGCGCAUACAAAGAGAAGCGACCUCGCGAGAGCAAGCGGACCUCAUAAAAUGCGUCGUAGUCCGGAUUGGAGUCUGCAACUCGACUCCAUGAAGUCGGAAUCGCUAGUAAUCGUGGAUCAGAAUGCCACGGUGAAUACGUUCCCGGGCCUUGUACACACCGCCCGUCACACCAUGGGAGUGGGUUGCAAAAGAAGUAGGUAGCUUAACUUUCUGGAGGGCGCUUAAGCACUUUGUGCUUCCG